UGAAGCAUAGCAUAAUUAAUGCAAUCCACUUACACUGGGUCGAUGGCUUGUUUAAAAGUCUGCUUUAA
rnacentral:tRNA from 1 species